rnacentral:rRNA from 4 species
CGUAUCACCCAAGACAACUUUACGGAGUUGACGAUUGACGGAGCGAAGCGACGUCAAAGCGUUCAUUAAAGUCGAGUUGGCUUAGGGAUACGUUCGUUGGGUAGGGGAGCGUUCUGUAAGCCUGUGAAGGUGUGUCGUGAGGCAUGCUGGAGGUAUCAGAAGUGCGAAUGCUGACAUAAGUAACGAUAAAGCGGGUGAAAAGCCCGCUCGCCGGAAGACCAAGGGUUCCUGUCCAACGUUAAUCGGGGCAGGGUGAGUCGACCCCUAAGGCGAGGCCGAAAGGCGUAGUCGAUGGGAAACGGGUUAAUAUUCCCGUACUUGGUGUUACUGCGAAGGGGGGACGGAGAAGGCUAUGUUGGCCGGGCGACGGUUGUCCCGGUUUAAGCGUGUAGGUGUGUGUUCCAGGUAAAUCCGGUUCACUUUAACACUGAGGCGUGACGACGAGGCACUACGGUGCUGAAGCAACAAAUGCCCUGCUUCCAGGAAAAGCCUCUAAGCAUCAGGUAACAUCAAAUCGUACCCCAAACCGACACAGGUGGUCAGGUAGAGAAUACCAAGGCGCUUGAGAGAACUCGGGUGAAGGAACUAGGCAAAAUGGUGCCGUAACUUCGGGAGAAGGCACGCUGACACGUAGGUGAAGUGAUUUACUCAUGGAGCUGAAGUCAGUCGAAGAUACCAGCUGGCUGCAACUGUUUAUUAAAAACACAGCACUGUGCAAACACGAAAGUGGACGUAUACGGUGUGACGCCUGCCCGGUGCCGGAAGGUUAAUUGAUGGGGUCAGCGCAAGCGAAGCUCCUGAUCGAAGCCCCGGUAAACGGCGGCCGUAACUAUAACGGUCCUAAGGUAGCGAAAUUCCUUGUCGGGUAAGUUCCGACCUGCACGAAUGGCGUAAUGAUGGCCAGGCUGUCUCCACCCGAGACUCAGUGAAAUUGAACUCGCUGUGAAGAUGCAGUGUACCCGCGGCAAGACGGAAAGACCCCGUGAACCUUUACUAUAGCUUGACACUGAACAUUGAGCCUUGAUGUGUAGGAUAGGUGGGAGGCUUUGAAGUGUGGACGCCAGUCUGCAUGGAGCCGACCUUGAAAUACCACCCUUUAAUGUUUGAUGUUCUAACGUGGACCCGUAAUCCGGGUUGCGGACAGUGUCUGGUGGGUAGUUUGACUGGGGCGGUCUCCUCCUAAAGAGUAACGGAGGAGCACGAAGGUUGGCUAAUCCUGGUCGGACAUCAGGAGGUUAGUGCAAUGGCAUAAGCCAGCUUGACUGCGAGCGUGACGGCGCGAGCAGGUGCGAAAG